rnacentral:lncRNA from 1 species
UCUGGGCUGCCCAGGAAGGUGACCCAGGGUCCUGGGAAGCCAGGUACUGCCAGAAGAGGAUGGCUGGGGCCCAGAGCACAAAGGAAACCAGCCAGGCCAGGCCGAUCAUCAGAGCUGCCCGGCGGGGUGUGCGCUUGGCACGGUAGCUCAGGGGCCGAGUCACGGAGAAGUAGCGGUCAAAGCUGAUGAGCAGCAGAUUCAUGACGGAGGCAUUGCUGGCCACAUAGUCCAGGGCCAGCCAGAGGUCACAAGCCAGCGUGCCCAGAGCCCAGUGGCCCAUGAGCAGUAGGUCCUGCUAUCCCCAGUUUGCAAAAGGCCUAACCUGAGGCUUCAAGACCUGAAGGACCUUACAGCUCAUCAGCGAUGCAACCAGGAUUUGGAUCCAGGCCGUCUGCCUCCGAGACCAACCUCUUGAACCCUACUCCUGCCCUUGAGGGGUUGCGGGGGUUUGCCAGCCUCCUUGCCCACCUCAGCUAGCUUACUCAAGCCCAACUUUGAAUCAGUUAACGAUGAGCAAUCGGUCCUUCUUUCAGAAUCUGGCCUCCUUUGUGUGCGCGGCAGUGUCUGUCGUAUAUCUGUGUGAUGUGUGAUAACAGUGCUGUGGGAAGAGGGUGGGUCUACUGGAGCUCUUUAAAGGGCAGGGUAAGGGCUGCGUCUGUCUCAUUCAAUGCUUUAUCCCAGGGCUUGGCAGAUAGUAGUUGCUCAAUAAAUACCUGUGGAAUAAAUGUACGUGUGUGUACUCAACUUCAGACCCUGGAGCCUGAGGGUGAACCUGUGGGGGUCAGGACCAGGUCCAGAGCAUGGUCCAGAGGCCCCUCUUCUCCCUUGAGCUCCCACAUCUCAUCUGCCAGGUCCCUGCUUCCCUGAGUGAGGCCCUGCCUGGCUGGAGAGCAUAGGAGAAAAACAGCCAAGAGCAUCCUUGUCUGUAAAGUGGACCAAGGAAACCCUGCCUCACCCGGCUGCAGGGAAGCUAAGUGAGGUGCCAGGACAGACAUGGACGUGCCAAAGCAUUUGUCACUGGGGAGAGGAGAAUGUUAGCCUGGGCUCAAAGGGUUAAGGGAUGAGGUCAGAGC